rnacentral:rRNA from 1 species
CUCUGGCCAUGCCACCCUUACUGCACCCGAUCUUGUCUGAUCUCAGAAGCUAAGUGAGGUCAGACCUGGUCUGUACUUGGAUGGGAGAAAGUAGCGAGAACAACGGGGA